AGCGAACGCUGGCGGCAGGCUUAACACAUGCAAGUCGAACGGACCCUUCGGGGUUAGUGGCGGACGGGUGAGUAACACGUGGGAACGUGCCCUUAGGUUCGGAACAACACAGGGAAACUUGUGCUAAUACCGGAUGUGCCUCGUAAGAGGGAAAGAUUUAUCGCCUUUGGAGCGGCCCGCGUCUGAUUAGCUUGUUGGUGAGGUAAAGGCUCACCAAGGCUACGAUCAGUAGCUGGUCUGAGAGGAUGGCCAGCCACAUUGGGACUGAGACACGGCCCAAACUCCUACGGGAGGCAGCAGUGGGGAAUCUUGCGCAAUGGGCGAAAGCCUGACGCAGCCAUGCCGCGUGGAUGAUGAAGGUCUUAGGAUUGUAAAAUCCUUUCAG
rnacentral:rRNA from 1 species